rnacentral:rRNA from 1 species
GCCUACGGGGGGCAGCAGUAGGGAAUUUUCGUCAAUGGGCGCAAGCCUGAACGAGCAAUGCCGCGUGAACGAGGAAGGUCUUCGGAUCGUAAAGUUCUGUUGAAGGGGAAAAAGAGCGGAGAGAGGAAAUGGUCUCCGAUUGAUAUUACCCUUCGAGGAAGUCACGGCUAACUACGUGCCAGCAGCCGCGGUAAUACGUAGGUGGCGAGCGUUAUCCGGAAUGAUUGGGCGUAAAGGGUGCGUAGGCGGCCUGCUAAGUCUGGAGUGAAAGGUACCGGCUCAACCGGUACAUGCUCUGGAAACUG